GGACUACCGGGGUUUCUAAUCCUGUUUGCUCCCCUUGCUCUCGCGCCUCAGCGUCAGGUAAAAACUAGAAAGCCGCUUUCGCCACUGGUGUUCCUCCACGUAUCUACGCAUUUCACCGCUACUCGUGGAAUUCCGCUUUCUCCGUCAAUCCUCAAGAAACGCAGUUUCAAAUGCAGCACCAAAGUUGAGCUUUGGUAUUUCACAUCUGACUUACAUUCCCGCCUACGCGCCCUUUACGCCCAAUAAUUCCGAUUAAUGCUUGUACCCUACGUAUUACCGCGGCUGCUGGCAC
rnacentral:rRNA from 1 species